rnacentral:lncRNA from 1 species
ACUUCCUCCACUACUUCCCUUUGUUUAAUUCUUCAUGUCAACAGAUGUUAGGUGAUGAAGUUUUUAAGCAGACAUUGAUAGAGCUAAAGAUAAUUAGGUUUACAGAUAGUCAAGUAAUGAGAGAGAGAGAGAGAGAGAGAGAAUUCGCCAUUAGUAGAGUUGAUGUUUAAUAGUGAUUGACCUUUGGGAUUUGGUCGAAUUGAGGCUGUUCAUCGCAGGGACGGAACACAUUUACGGAGCUUCGAACGGUUACGUUGGUGGAUGAUGAGGCCGAGUUAAUGCGAAAGAGUGGGAGGAGUGGCAGGAUCGACGUUAAUGCUUGAGUAAAUGGUAUAUGUUUGCCGAAAGCUGAAUACGUUACAGAGCCAUUGUUUGGUGUUUCGAGCUUCAGAGAGUGAAGGUGCUGGUGAUGAAGAUUAACCAAACCAAAUAACAACUGGGCCUAAGAGAGUGAUAGCCCAUCAAAGUAUUAAUCGUUUCAACAUCGAAAUCGAAACAAAAUGAAAAUAAACGAGGACAGGCGUCACAAAAUGCCCCAAGCACAUUGGUGAGGUGGCUCAAAGAGGAGAGAGAGGCAAGCCAACUUUAUUGUAUAAGAUUUAUGAGAAACUGAGUCUGUUACAAGUUGUUCACUAUUUUCUUUUUAGUUGUAUCUUUCCCUUUUUCUUACUCCUCAAAAUUUAAAUUGAUUUUAAACUGAUUUUUAUUGCUUUUUAGGUUUUGGUUUUUGAUUUAGUUUUAAGAUUUUGGCUUUUUCAAUUUUUAGUUUCUGAUUUUUCUGUAGAUUUUAGCUUUUCGAAAAACUUGGACGAUGAUUUAGAUUUUAGAAAAUUUUAGUUGAAAAAAUUUAGAUUAAAUUAAUAAAGAAUAAAAAUAAUAAGAAUAAUAAAAAAAAAUUUAAAGCAAUUAAAAUACAGUAUAUUAUCACC